UACGUAGGGGGCUAGCGUUGUCCGGAAUCAUUGGGCGUAAAGAGCGUGUAGGCGGUCCGGUAAGUCCGCUGUGAAAGUCGGGGGCUCAACCCUCGAAUGCCGGUGGAUACUGUCGGGCUAGAGUGCGGAAGAGGCGAGUGGAAUUCCUGGUGUAGCGGUGGAAUGCGUAGAGAUCGGGAAGAACAUCAGUGGCGAAGGCGGCCUGCUGGGCUGUUGCUGACGCUGAGGCGCGACAGCGUGGGGAGCAAACAGG
rnacentral:rRNA from 1 species